GAGUUUGAUCUUGGCUCAGAGCGAACGCUGGCGGCAGGCUUAACACAUGCAAGUCGAGCGGAUGUAGCAAUACAUCAGCGGCAGACGGGAGAGUAACACGUGGGAACGCGCCCUUCGGUUCGGAAUAACUCAGGGAAACGUUGAGCUAAUAACCGGAUACGCCCUAAACGGGGAAGAUUUAUUGCCCGAAGGAACGGCCGCGUCGGAUUAGCUAGUUGGUGAGGUAAAUGGGCUCACCAAGGCGACGGAUCCGUAGCUGGUCUGAGAGGAUGACCAGCCUCACUGGGACUGAGACACGGCCCA
rnacentral:rRNA from 1 species